rnacentral:rRNA from 1 species
CGAAUGCUGACAUAAGUAACGAUAAAGCGGGUGAAAAGCCCGCUCGCCGGAAGACCAAGGGUUCCUGUCCAACGUUAAUCGGGGCAGGGUGAGUCGACCCCUAAGGCGAGGCCGAAAGGCGUAGUCGAUGGGAAACAGGUUAAUAUUCCUGUACUUGGUGUUACUGCGAAGGGGGGACGGAGAAGGCUAUGUUGGCCGGGCGACGGUUGUCCCGGUUUAAGCGUGUAGGCUGGUUUUCCAGGCAAAUCCGGAAAAUCAAGGCUGAGGCGUGAUGACGAGGCACUACGGUGCUGAAGCAACAAAUGCCCUGCUUCCAGGAAAAGCCUCUAAGCAUCAGGUAACAUCAAAUCGUACCCCAAACCGACACAGGUGGUCAGGUAGAGAAUACCAAGGCGCUUGAGAGAACUCGGGUGAAGGAACUAGGCAAAAUGGUGCCGUAACUUCGGGAGAAGGCACGCUGAUAUGUAGGUGAGGUCCCUCGCGGAUGGAGCUGAAAUCAGUCGAAGAUACCAGCUGGCUGCAACUGUUUAUUAAAAACACAGCACUGUGCAAACACGAAAGUGGACGUAUACGGUGUGACGCCUGCCCGGUGCCGGAAGGUUAAUUGAUGGGGUUAGCGCAAGCGAAGCUCUUGAUCGAAGCCCCGGUAAACGGCGGCCGUAACUAUAACGGUCCUAAGGUAGCGAAAUUCCUUGUCGGGUAAGUUCCGACCUGCACGAAUGGCGUAAUGAUGGCCAGGCUGUCUCCACCCGAGACUCAGUGAAAUUGAACUCGCUGUGAAGAUGCAGUGUACCCGCGGCAAGACGGAAAGACCCCGUGAACCUUUACUAUAGCUUGACACUGAACAUUGAGCCUUGAUGUGUAGGAUAGGUGGGAGGCUUAGAAGUGUGGACGCCAGUCUGCAUGGAGCCGACCUUGAAAUACCACCCUUUAAUGUUUGAUGUUCUAACGUUGACCCGUAAUCCGGGUUGCGGACAGUGUCUGGUGGGUAGUUUGACUGGGGCGGUCUCCUCCUAAAGAGUAACGGAGGAGCACGAAGGUUGGCUAAUCCUGGUCGGACAUCAGGAGGUUAGUGCAAUGGCAUAAGCCAGCUUGACUGCGAGCGUGACGGCGCGAGCAGGUGCGAAAGCAGGUCAUAGUGAUCCGGUGGUUCUGAAUGGAAGGGCCAUCGCUCAACGGAUAAAAGGUACUCCGGGGAUAACAGGCUGAUACCGCCCAAGAGUUCAUAUCGACGGCGGUGUUUGGCACCUCGAUGUCGGCUCAUCACAUCCUGGGGCUGAAGUAGGUCCCAAGGGUAUGGCUGUUCGCCAUUUAAAGUGGUACGCGAGCUGGGUUUAGAACGUCGUGAGACAGUUCGGUCCCUAUCUGCCGUGGGCGCUGGAGAACUGAGGGGGGCUGCUCCUAGUACGAGAGGACCGGAGUGGACGCAUCACUGGUGUUCGGGUUGUCAUGCCAAUGGCACUGCCCGGUAGCUAAAUGCGGAAGAGAUAAGUGCUGAAAGCAUCUAAGCACGAAACUUGCCCCGAGAUGAGUUCUCCCUGACUCCUUGAGAGUCCUGAAGGAACGUUGAAGACGACGACGUUGAUAGGCCGGGUGUGUAAGCGCAGCGAUGCGUUGAGCUAACCGGUACUAAUGAACCGUGAG